rnacentral:rRNA from 1 species
AGAGUUUGAUCAUGGCUCAGUCUGAACGCUGGCGGCGUGGCUAAGACAUGCAAGUCGUACGGUGUAGCAAUACACAGUGGCGGACGGGUGAGUAAUGAAUCGCUAAUGUACCCCGAUGUCUGGGAUAGCCAGUCGAAAGAUUGGGUAAUACCGGAUAAGACCACAGAACCGCAUGGUUCAGUGCUCAAAGGGUCACCGCAUUGGGAGCAGGCGAUUUCGUAUCAGCUAGUUGGUGAGGUAACGGCUCACCAAGGCGACGACGCGUAGCCGGGCUGAGAGGUCGGCCGGCCACAUUGGGACUGAGACACUGCCCAGACUCCUACGGGGGGCUGCAGUAACGAAUCUUCCGCAAUGCACGCAAGUGUGACGGAGCGACGCCGCGUGUAGGAUGAAGCCCUUCGGGGUGUAAACUACUGUCAGGGGAAAGAAAGUUCUGAUCUACCCCAAAGAAGAG